GAUGAACGCUGGCGGCGUGCUUAACACAUGCAAGUCGAACGGGAUCCACCGGGCUUUGCUUGGUGGUGAGAGUGGCGAACGGGUGAGUAAUGCGUGACCGACCUGCCCCAUACACCGGAAUAGCUCCUGGAAACGGGUGGUAAUGCCGGAUGCUCCAGUUGAUCGCAUGGUCUUCUGGGAAAGCUUUCGCGGUAUGGGAUGGGGUCGCGUCCUAUCAGCUUGACGGCGGGGUAACGGCCCACCGUGGCUUCGACGGGUAGCCGGCCUGAGAGGGCGACCGGCCACAUUGGGACUGAGAUACGGCCCAGACUCCUACGGGAGGCAGCAGUGGGGAAUAUUGCACAAUGGGCGCAAGCCUGAUGCAGCGACGCCGCGUGAGGGAUGGAGGCCUUCGGGUUGUAAACCUCUUUUAUCGGGGAGCAAGCGAGAGUGAGUUACC
rnacentral:rRNA from 1 species